GAAGGAGCACGCCGCGUGAGUGAAGAAGGGUUUCGGCUCGUAAAACUCUGUUGUUAGAGAAGAACAGCCGUGAGAGCAACUGCUCACGGUAUGACGGUAUCUAACCAGAAAGUCACGGCUAACUACGUGCCAGCAGCCGCGGUAAUACGUAGGUGGCAAACGUUGUCCGGAUUUAUUGGGCGUAAAGGGAGCGCAGGCGGUUUAUUAAGUCUGAUGUGAAAGCCUUCGGCUUAACCGGAGAAGUGCAUCGGAAACUGAUAAACUUGAGUGCAGAAAAGGAUAGUGGAACUUCAUGUGUAGCGGUGAAAUGCGUAGAUAUAUGAAGGAACACCAGUGGCGAAGGCGGCUAUCUGGUCUGUAACUGACGCUGAGGCUCGAAAGCAUGGGUAGCAAACAGGAUUAGAUACCCUGGUAGUCCAUGCCGUAAACGAUGAAUGCUAGGUGUUGGAAGGUUUCCGCCUUUCAGUGCCGCAGCUAACGCAUUAAGCAUUCCGCCUGGGGAGUACGACCGCAAGGUUGAAACUCAAAGGAAUUGACGGGGACCCGCACAAGCGGUGGAGCAUGUGGUUUAAUUCGAUGCUACGCGAAGAACCUUACCAGGACUUGACAUCUUCUGCCAAUCUAAGAGAUUAGACGUUCCCUUCGGGGACAGAAUGACAGGUGGUGCAUGGUUGUCGUCAGCUCGUGUCGUGAGAUGUUGGGUUAAGUCCCGCCACGAGCG
rnacentral:rRNA from 2 species